AUGAUACAAGCUUCCUCCAAUGGCCAACUCUCUCACCCGAUCGACCCCUCCAUUGCUUGCCUUGUGCUCCAAUAUGCGGACGACGCCCUCAUCAUCCUUCAAGCAGAACAUGACCAACUACAAACACUCAAAUCUAUCCUUCUUGAAUUCUUGGCAGCCACUGGCUUACACAUUAAUUUUCACAAAAGCACUUUCGCUCCUAUUCAUGUCGAACCUGGACUUGUUGUCCAGCUUGCCGAUAUUUUGGGGUGCAAAGUGGCAUCCUUCCCUCAAUCUUACCUCGGUCUACCUCUGUCCACCCACAAACUCAAUCUGAAAGACUUCUUUGUCACCAUAGAUAAGAUCGUCCGUCGUCUAGCUGGGUGGCGAGGGGCACUUCUAUCUCUUGCCGGUCGUGCCAUUCUGGUUUGUGCGGUCCUUAGGGCCUUACCUACUGCUCUACUGCUCCCGGUGGGCAUUGUCCAGGACAUCGAUAAACGCUGCAGGUCCUUUUUUUGGGCGGGUCAGGAAAAAGUAUCUGAUGGGCAGUGUAAAGUGGCUUGGGAAUUUGUUUGUGCACCGUUCUCUCAUGGGGGUCUAGGUUUCUCCUCUCUUCAACACUUGAACUCUUGCCUACUUCUUUCCCAUCUAAAUAAACUUCACUCGUACAUUGCUUCUAGGGGUAGUUCUCAUCUUGCUCCAAAAUAUGGAUGGUCUGACACUCGUGACCUUGAUUCUCCGCAUCCCUUUAAGUCCAACGUUUGGCAUGAUAGCGCCAAGGGGCUAGAAUUCUUCCAAUCCAUAACUAAGGUGGAUAUUGGCAAUGGUACAACAACCGCUUUGUGGCUAGAUCUAUGGUUUAACGGUUCCACUGAAAACCUUGCAACAAUUUUCCCUGCACUUUGUUCUCAUACUCUCAGACCCGCGGCCACUGUUGCACAGGUGCUAGGCUAUCCUGCUUUGAACCUUGACCUGGCUCCUCGCCUUACUCAUGAUGUCGAACUCAAAUUGGGAAACCUUCGCGCUAUGCUUGCAUCUGUUUCCUUGAAUUUGCAGGUAAUUGACAAACGAACAGGACGUUUUGAUGGCAAGCCUAUGACUUGCAGAUCGGCUUACAAGGUUGUUUGGAUCAACAAGCCAAUUGACCCCUUCGCAACGGCCAUUUGGAAAAACUAUGCACCCAACAAAUGCAAAAUUUUUCUUUGGCUAGCACACAAAAACUGGCUAUUCACCAACAAAAGACGAUUCAAAAGGGGGUUAACAAACUCCGCCUGCUGCUCGUUUUGCCCGGAUACAGAAUCAAUCACUCACCUCCUCCUCCAAUGCCACCAGUUGCGUCCGUUUUGGGAAGAGCUAAAUUCAAUUACUGCCACACUACCGACGGACCUACACCAGCUCUGGGGACAGGGCCUAACCAACAAACCUCGCUCCACGAUUAGCAUUGCUAUUUUGUGGAAUAUUUGGAAAAGAAGAAAUGCAAAAGCUUUUCGGAAUGAACUUCAACCGAUCAACCUCGUAGCCCGCUCGGCUGCCGACGACCUCAUGCUUUGGUCCAAUAGAUGCUCCAAUGAGCAAGUUCUGCACCUUCUUCGAGAUUGA
rnacentral:rRNA from 1 species